GCAACCUAAUCCCCAUUCUCCAGAGCACUUGGCUUCACUGGCAAAAGCAAACGAAAUAAUCUCUCUACUCACCAGAUCCCCACGCAGAAAUCUCAGAGUCUAUGACCUCUCCCUCCCCAUUAGCCAGGCACUAGCCAUGGAAAGGAGAAAAGUGUGACUCAGUCCUUGAUCCCGUGGGAAGAGACAGCAUCUAUUCAUCAAAGGACAAAUAAAAAUGAAGUGAUCUUGAGCUGAGUGUCAGAGAAACAAGAGAGAUCACACUCCAUUGGCAUAUGCAGGUCUUUGAGAGCAGAAAAGCAAGAAGGCUGAGCUCCAUCUUCUAAGUCUCUUCAGUGCGAUGAAAACAUGAGGUCGGAACUGUCAAGAGGAGCAAGCAGAAUUCCUCCACGGCAUCAGGCAGAGAUUUGUGGGAAGAGUGUUUUUUGUAUUGUUCAAAGGCUUCAUCUUGUGGUUCCUCUGUAAGGCAAAAAGGAGUGAGGAGCUGGAUAAAGCCUGUGGCCAAAAUGAAGCAUCAUUUCCUACUUGGGCUAGAUAUAUUUGCUUUGAGUCAAAAGAAUUUUUGAUCAACACAAAAUUUAAGCAAUGUGAUCCUCGAGAUCAAGUUCAGAGUAAAAAUGGUAGAAGGCAGAAGAGACAAGGAGAAAAAAAUAUUUCAAAGCAGACACUUUGCCCAGACCCGGUUUAAACUCGGGUUCCAGCCACAAACCACAAUCUCUUCUGCAUCUCAGAUCUCCCAAGACAGAAAUUUGGGAAGACCGUUUAAAACUAAAACUCUCAAAG
rnacentral:lncRNA from 1 species